CAAAUCCCAUCACAGUCUAUGCCAGUGUGACCCUUCCAGAGAGCUGACACCACAGACCCAGGGAAGAGACUUUCCGAAGGAAAACGGAAGUACCAAAGACAAAAACACUGAACUUGGCCCCGGGCCCUGAGACAUUGUGCACAUCUGCACAAUGUUCGCAUCAACAGUGUGGUGGUGUUUCUUCACCCAUGCCUGUGAGUCAGGGAUGGAGGUGGGACUUCCCAGGUGGUCAGCCUGCUCUGCAGCCAACUCGGACACAGAACUGAGAGCUACUUGAUACAGUUUUCCAACUUUAGUGGAGAACGUGAGUCCAGACUUCCAGACUUCUCACUCUUCCACAGGAUGGACACUAAAAUCCAAAAACAGAAAGCCAGGACAUCUAGUACCUGUCUCAGAUGGCCGACCAACAGCCCCAAAGUCUGGAAAAGUUUACAUUUUGCUUGUUUGUCCUUUGUCCUGGGAACCGAUCCAGAUCACCUUCCAACCGGAUCAAGGCUCUGCACCUCAGUUUCUCUCUCUGAAGAGUGAAUUAUCUUAUACAUAAAACACUCUAAGACUGCUCUAUAAAAGAAGCUAAGAGAUUUGAUAUUUUAGAUGCAAAACCCAGGAGCUAAAAAAAAAAAAAAGUCAAUAAACUGAAAGAAAGACUUUAAGGUCUUGGAGCUUUGAACGGUAGAAUGGAAACCUUCUAAGGUUUUUAAAAGUAUAGUUUUGCACAAACAACAUUCCGUUGUUGUUGUUGUUGUUGUUGUUGUCGUUGUCAUUGUUUUUAAGUGUUGAGUGUUUAGUGAUUCUAAUAUAAAGUAACUUGAGAUACUCAGAGGAACUUGUUUGUCCCAAGGAGAUUUUUCACUUCCUAAAAUGAUUUUUUGUUUGUUUAUUGCUACUAGGGAUGGAACCCAGGAGCGAUUUAACUGAGCUAACUGAGCUACAUUCCCACCCCUUAUUUAUGUUUUGUUUUGAGAUAGGGUCUUCCUACAUUGCUUAGGACCUCACUAAGUUGCUGAGGCUAGCCUCAACCUUGCAAUCCUCUUGCCUCAGCCUCUCAAGCUGCUGGGAUCACAGGCAUGCACCACCCUACCUGGCUCUACAAUGAUUUUUUUAAUUGCUUUUAUUUUUUAAAUACAUGCAUGAUAGCAGAAUGCAACACAAUUCUCAUUACACAUAUGGAACACAAUUUUUCAUAUCUCUGUAUAUAAAGUAUGUUCACACCAAUUCAUGUCUUCAUACAUGUACUUUGGAUAAGGAUGUCCAUCACAUUCCACCACCAUUGUCUAAAAUGAUUUUUAAAUAAAUGGAUUCCUUAGUUUCUGUUUACUCCCUUGAGUGACAAAUUGGGAGCCUCAGCUAAGACUCUCUGCUGGUUCUGAACCCAUUUACAUCCCAGGCCUCAUAUGAAAUUGGAGGUCAGAGUUACUACAGGGCACUUCUACUUCCUGAAUACCUCUUUUCUUACUAAAUUUACCUUCAAGUGGAGAAUUAAAUUAUUUUGACCCAACAGUUUCAAAUAACUGGAUGCUCAAUCACUUCGAUUCCGGGCUGCAAACACAAAGAGCCUCUUUCAGUAAACUCCUGGUUUCUUCCUAUUCUCUCCUUUUAGACAGGCCAUCUUUCAAAUUAAGGGCUUCUUUUUCUUAUGGGUUCUUGUAUGACCUUGUUGAAUAAUUU
rnacentral:lncRNA from 1 species